GUCGAGCUAAGUAACAGUAGCUUGUAACCCAUGUGGGGACAAUAAGAUCGAGGGACACUGGUCGGUUCCUCGGGUCGGUUCUGGUGUUGGCAUGUUUCUGAGCUGCCCAGUCCAAGCUGUGGUAAUCCGUGUGAAUCAAGCGAAGGCUUGGCUCAGUCGGUUUCUAAAGGCGGAAGGCAAUGCGUGAGGCUGGUUUCACAGAGCAGCGACUACUUCCCGCUUACAGCAGUGGACGGGAUCACAGUUUGGCGUCGCUCAGAACCACUAUGGCCUGAUGGUCCGAUCUCAUAUGAACCACCAUUUU
rnacentral:SRP_RNA from 1 species